UAGAUCUAGAGGUAGGUUCACCUGGCUGGGACACUACAUAGAUCUAGAGGUAGGUUCACCUGGCUGGGACACUAGACACUACAUCGAUCUAGAGGUAGGUUCAACUGGCUGGGACACUAGACACUACAUAGAUCUAGAGGUAGGUUCACCUGGCUGGGACACUAGACACUACAUAGAUCUAGAGGUAGGUUCACCUGGCUGGGACACUACAUCGAUCUAGAGGUAGGUUCACCUGGCUGCGACACUAGACACUACAUAGAUCUAGAGGUAGGUUCACCUGGCUGGGACACUACAUCGAUCUAGAGGUAGGUUCACCUGGCUGGGACACUAGACACUACAUAGAUCUAGAGGUAGGUUCACCUGGCUGGGACACUGGACACUACAUAGAUCUAGAGGUAGGUUCACCUGGCUGGGACACUAGACACUACAUAGAUCUAGAGGUACCUGGCUGGGACACU